GACGAACGCUGGCGGCGUGCUUAACACAUGCAAGUCGAACGGAAAGGCCCUGCUUUUGUGGGGUGCUCGAGUGGCGAACGGGUGAGUAACACGUGAGUAACCUGCCCUUGACUUUGGGAUAACUUCAGGAAACUGGGGCUAAUACCGGAUAGGAGCUCCUGCUGCAUGGUGGGGGUUGGAAAGUUUCGGCGGUUGGGGAUGGACUCGCGGCUUAUCAGCUUGUUGGUGGGGUAGUGGCUUACCAAGGCUUUGACGGGUAGCCGGCCUGAGAGGGUGACCGGCCACAUUGGGACGGAGAUCCGGCCCAGACUCCGACGGGAGGCAGAAGGGGGGAAUAUUGCACAAGGGGGGGAAGCCGGAUGCAGCAACGCCGGGUGGGGGAUGACGGCCUUCGGGUUGUAAACCGCUUUCGCCGGUGACGAAGGGGGAGUGACGGUAAGGGGUAAAGAAGCACCGGCUAACUACGUG
rnacentral:rRNA from 1 species